rnacentral:rRNA from 1 species
AUUGAACGCUGGCGGCGUGCUUAACACAUGCAAGUCGAUCGGUAACAGGUGUAGCAAUACAUGCUGACGAGCGGCGGACGGGUGAGGAACGCUUGGGAAUCUGCCUAUCAGCGGGGGACAACCCGGGGAAACCCGGGCUAAUACCGCAUACGCUCUACGGAGGAAAGGCGGGGACCGCAAGGACUGGCACUGAUAGAUGAGCACAAGUCGGAUUAGCUAGUUGGCGGGGUAACCGCCCACCAAGGCGACGAUCCGUAGCUGGUCUGAGAGGACGAUCCGCCACACCGGAACUGAGACACGGUCCGGACUCCUACGGGAGGCAGCAGUGGGGAAUAUUGGACAAUGGGCGAAAGCCUGAUCCAGCGACGCCGCGGGGGUGGAGAAGGCUUGCGGGUUGUAAAGCCCUUUCGGUAGGGACGAAAGCUCUUGCCCUAACAAGGCAGGAGGUUGACUUAACCUACAUAAGAAGCACCGGCUAACUCUGUGCCAGCCGCCGCGGUAAUAC